rnacentral:rRNA from 1 species
CACGUAGGCACCAAGCGUUGUCCGGAUUUAUUGGGCGUAAAGAGCUCGUAGGCGGUUCGGUAAGUCGGGUGUGAAAACUUUGGGCUCAACCCAAAGCGUGCACUCGAUACUGCUGUGACUAGAGUUCGGUAGGGGAGUGGGGAAUUCCUAGUGUAGCGGUGAAAUGCGCAGAUAUUAGGAGGAACACCGGUGGCGAAGGCGCCACUCUGGGCCGAAACUGACGCUGAGGUGCGAAAGCGUGGGGAGCAAACAGG